rnacentral:rRNA from 1 species
UAACAUGAGAGUUUGAUCCUGGCUCAGGAUGAACGCUGGCGGCGUGCCUAACACAUGCAAGUCGAACGAGGUAUU